rnacentral:rRNA from 1 species
UUAUAGGCUGAAAUAGUGUGAAGGCAUCAAAUCCCAUGUGAUCUUGGAAGUUAAACAGGAUCAGGUCUGGUUAGUAAUUGGGAAGGAGACUGCCAAAGAAUACUAGAUAGUGUACACU